rnacentral:rRNA from 1 species
CCUACGGGAGGCAGCAGUGGGGAAUAUUGGGCAAUGGGCGCAAGCCUGACCCAGCAACGCCGCGUGAAGGAAGAAGGCUUUCGGGUUGUAAACUUCUUUUCUCAGGGACGAAGAAAGUGACGGUACCUGAUGAAUAAGCCACGGCUAACUACGUGUCAGCAGCCGCGGUAAUACGUAGGUGGCAAGCGUUAUCCGGAUUUAUUGGGUGUAAAGGGCGUGUAGGCGGGGGCGCAAGUCAGAUGUGAAAACGCAGGGCUCAACCCUGAGCCUGCAUUGGAAACUGUGUUUCUUGAGUGCUGGAGAGGCAAGCGGAAUUCCGUGUGUAGCGGUGAAAUGCGUAGAGAUACGGAGGAACACCAGUGGCGAAGGCGGAUUGCUGGACAGUAACUGACGCUGAGGCGCGAAAGCGUGGGGAGCAAACAGGAUUAGAUACCCGGGUAGUC